rnacentral:tRNA from 1 species
GUGUCUAUAGCAUAACAGGAUAAUGCCAUCGUUUCCUAAACGAUAGAUUGCAGGUUCGAAUCCUGCUAGACACG